ACUUGAACGUGCUUCUCCAGAAGUCCUGACGGUAUUGUGAAGCCCUCUUGUGUGUAUGGCUUUUUUUGCAAGAGUUUUAUUUUUUACUUUUCUAAGGGGAUCGUCCUCUGGGUUGCUUUUGCAUUGUGCUGUGUGGGAUUAGUGGCUCUGAUUGGAGAAGGGGGAAGAGUGAAGGUGCAGAGCCGCACAAAGCAGGAGCCGGCACUCAGCCUGACCGGCUGUUAAGACCCGUUCUCCCUCUGGGGAGGGGAGGGGGCUCAAAUUAGCAGCUCCAAGUUUCUGUUUGGUCUGUCCGGAAGCCCUCCCGAAAAAUUCAGAACAGAACAGAUCAAGAGGUGGAAAAAGAAAGGGAUUCGAUUCCACGCUGGCCCGCCCUUAGUGUGAGGAAGAACUAGAAUAAACAGAACUACAGAGAACUGGAUCACAAGCACAGGGGUGAGUGCUGGGAGAUGGAUCCAGACGUGGCGUGGCCCGAGCCAGCAGCCAGAUGCGGGUGGCAGGCUGAGCGAGCGGUCGCCGGUGCGAGCUCGGCGCAGGAGCGGGCGAUGGCGGCGGCGCGUAGGACAACGCCGCUCCGCCCGCCCCGCAUCACUCGCCUUGCCUGGCCAGCGCGGGACACAGGGCGGGUACUCCACCUGUUCCCUGAGACCCUAACUCGUGAGCUCUGUGAACGAAAAAUCACGGGCUAGGCUCUCGGGACCCGGGCGGAGGGCACGGGCGUCUCGGACAUCGGCCAUUUUUUGAGGGUGGAGCGGACGGGGAGGCUGGCACGACGGCAGGGAGACAAAGAGAGAGAGCAUGGAGCAGACUGGAGAGAAGAUCGACUUCCUCCAGCUAGCCUUAGCCUUAGCAUGCCUCAGCUAGUCUUCAGACCACUUUUAAAUAUAGUUUCGGUUGUAUCCAUCUUUUCAGAAAAAUGAGAUGGAAAGUAUCUGCAGAUGGAAGCUAGACCUGGCUCUAAUGGAUUGCGCAUUCCUGUAUUUUUUUCUCAGAAUAGUUCUAGUUUAGUCCUUUUCCUUCCAUAUCAGAUUCCUAGCAUUUGUGCAUAUCGAUAUGUAGUAAUGCGCAAAAUUCCAUCUGUGUUGCUGCUAAUAAAAUACUUUUCUCUUUGUGGUCUGACUGGAAGAGACUUUGCAGUUACUGCAGUGCAACUUCACUUGCACAGCAGGAGACACUGUUGCAUGCCGCAGUGUCAUUUCUUUUAUUAACUUUACAAUAUGUUGUGCAGUCAUUUCCAAACCAUAACUAAUGAAUUUUUGAGAAGUGUUUCAGAUGAGGAAUUUGUAACAAUCGCAGCGCAGUUCAGAUGUUGUUUGCUGUUAGACAUCUGCUAAUGAUUACUGUGCGCUGACAAAAUCAUUUAAGAAAAUACAGUGAAGCUGAUGCCAGUAGCAUAACAUUUAGAAGAAAUGGGAAACUUACAGUCUCCUGACUCUAAUGGUGGGGGUCUGCUAAACAAAGCAUUGUACUCAUUCAGUUUUUCAUGAGUUUCACUGAACAGUAUUAGCCUACUUGAUGUUUACAUUAAAAUAGUUCAGAAUUGCAAAGCACAUUUUGUCAUACAUUAUUUGAAAUAUAUGCAUCUUAUGCAUUUUAAAGAGUACAUCUGUGCGUUUUUAAAUCAAAAUAUAGAGUAUCACAUGCCUUUCUUAGUAAAAAAAAAAAGGUUUUAUAUGCAGCAUGUAUUCACUGACUGCCACAAUUAUCAACACAUAAUCAGUGUUGUGUUACUUUCAACAGUAAAAAAAUCAAUGCUGUAUAACAGGUUUGCUUAUUGCUUAAGUUUAUAAUGUUAAAAUAAAUCCCCUUAUUGUAUACAUCAGGCAAAACAUUCAUUAAAGCAACAACGAAUCAUAUGCUGUCUUAUUUUAUCAAUAUUUUGAAUUUUUUGAAAUUGAGGUUGUUUUUUUUUUAUCGUGUGCAGCUAUACAAUCUCAUCUCUUGGUGCUUAUUACAAUAGUGUAAAACACUAUAAUGUAGAUAUUACUUACUAAUUCUCAUGGUUUUGUCGGAACUGCUUCAUACAAAUGCAUAUAAAGAUGUGCAAUAUAUCUAUGAUGUCAUU